rnacentral:rRNA from 1 species
GACGAACGCUGGCGGCGUGCUUAACACAUGCAAGUCGAACGGAAAGGCCCUGCUUUUGUGGGGUGCUCGAGUGGCGAACGGGUGAGUAACACGUGAGUAACCUGCCCUUGACUUUGGGAUAACUUCAGGAAACUGGGGCUAAUAUCGGAUAGGAGCUCCUGCUGCAUGGUGGGGGUUGGAAAGUUUCGGCGGUUGGGGCUGGACUCGCGGCUUAUCAGCGUGUUGGUGGGGUAGUGGCUUACCAAGGCUUUGACGGGUAGCCGGCCUGAGAGGGUGACCGGCGACAAUGGGACUGAGAUACGGACCAGACUCGUACGGUAGGCAGCAGUGGGAAGUAUUGCACAGUGAGCGGAAGCGUGAUGCAGCGACGCCGCGUGCGGGAUGACGGCCUUCGGGUUGUAAACCGAUUUCGCCUGUGACGAAGCGUGAGUGACGGUAAUGGAUAAAGAAGCACCGGCUAACUACGUG